GAUGAAGAACGUAGCGAAAUGCGAUACGUAAUGUGAAUUGCAGAAUUCAGUGAAUCAUCGAGUCUUUGAACGCACAUUGCGCCCCCUGGUAUUCCGGGGGGCAUGCCUGUCCGAGCGUCAUUGCUGCCCUCAAGCACGGCUUGUGUGUUGGGCCUCCGUCCUCCUCCCGGGGGACGGGCCCGAAAGGCAGCGGCGGCACCGCGUCCGGUCCUCGAGCGUAUGGGGCUUCGUCACCCGCUCUUGUAGGCCCGGUCGGCGCUUGCCGACACAUCAAUCUUUUUUCCAGGUUGACCUCGGAUCAGGUAGGGAUACACGCUGAACUUAAGCAUAUCAAUAAGCGGAGGA
rnacentral:misc_RNA from 1 species